AAAACGGCUCUUUUAGGAGCCACCACAUACAAAAAAAGUCACGAUAU
rfam:Nematostella vectensis strain CH2 x CH6 NEMVEscaffold_74_Cont10382, whole genome shotgun sequence.